rnacentral:lncRNA from 1 species
AUUAUGUGUGAUUUUAGAACGACAUUUUUGCUUUGUUAUCUUUCUAGAUCCCCUCAAUUCCUUUUUCCCUAGCCGUCAUCUGGUACAGUAGGUAAUUAAAAGAGGAAAAAGAAGUCCAAAGGGAUUUCAGAAGAAAGCUAUGACUACUGUUGGAAUGCCCAUCUUUAUGUAGUGUGUUGGCAGUGGCUUCCUGUCACUUUAUUUGUGGUGCUUUUCCACAAUGGUAUCCUCCGAUGCACACGAAAAGGUCGAAGAAGAGCGGAUCGUGGAAGAAGCAGGCAGUACAAAAAGCUCAGAGGUGGCGUCCUUGACCGCUAUCAUCCAAGAGUCUGCUUUGUCUUGAGUCUGCGGUUGAGUCAAUGAGCUAAUUGCAAUUCUGACAUUUUUCAGUUUUACCUGGGUGACUUUAUCCACACUUUUGGUUCAUGGCUAUGAAGCAGAUAGUGGUUUUGUCUUUUGCAAAUGUGGGGUCACAGUAAAUUGUUUUCACCCCAGAGACUGGGCUGGGCCUUCUGGGAAGUGGUGAGGCCUUAGGGCAAGUUUCAAAAUAGUGCCUGAGAUAGCCAAAUGGGAUAGGAGGG